rnacentral:tRNA from 1 species
GCCUGGCUGGCUCAGUGAAAAGAGCAUGUGACUCUUGAUCUCAGGGUCAUGAGUUCAAGCCCCACGUUGGGUG